CCUACGGGUGGCAGCAGUGAGGAAUAUUGGUCAAUGGGCGGGAGCCUGAACCAGCCAAGCCGCGUGAGGGAAGAAGGUACAGCGUAUCGUAAACCUCUUUUGUCAGGGAACAAAGGCGGGGACUAGUCCCCGGAUGAGGGUACCUGAAGAAACAGCAUCGGCUAACUCGGUGCCAGCAGCCGCGGUAAUACGGAGGAUGCGAGGGUUAUCGGGUUUUAUGGGGGUUAAGGGGUGCGCGGGCGGCAUGUUAAGUCAGCGGUAAAAGCCCGGGGCUCAACCCCGGCGAGCCGUUGAAACUGGCGGGCUGGAGUUGGAGAGAGGUACUCGGAAUGCGGGGUGUAGCGGUGAAAUGCUUAGAUAUCGCGCAGAACCCCGAUGGCGAAGGCAGCGUACUGGCUCCACACUGACGCUGAGGCACGAAAGCGUGGGUAUCGAACAGGAUUAGAUACCCUUGUAGUC
rnacentral:rRNA from 1 species